AUUGAACGCUGGCGGAAUGCUUUACACAUGCAAGUCGAGCGGCAGCGCGGCCUUCGGGCUGGCGGCGAGCGGCGAACGGGUGAGUAAUGCAUCGGAACAUGCCCAGUCGUGGAGGAUAACACUUCGAAAGAAGUGCUAAUACCGCAUACGUCCUGAGGGGGAAAGCGGGGGAUCGCAAGACCUCGCGCGAUUGGAGUGGCCGAUGUCAGAUUAGCUAGUUGGUGGGGUAAAGGCCUACCAAGGCGACGAUCUGUAGCUGGUCUGAGAGGAUGAUCAGCCACACUGGGACUGAGACACGGCCCAGACUCCUACGGGAGGCAGCAGUGGGGAAUUUUGGACAAUGGGGGCAACCCUGAUCCAGCCAUUCCGCGUGAGUGAAGAAGGCCUUCGGGUUGUAAAGCUCUUUCGGCAGGAACGAAACGGUGGGCUCUAACAUAGUCCGCUAAUGACGGUACCUGAAGAAGAAGCACCGGCUAACUACGUG
rnacentral:rRNA from 1 species